AACGAACGCUGGCGGCAGGCUUAACACAUGCAAGUCGAGCGCCCCGCAAGGGGAGCGGCGCACGGGUGAGUAACGCGUGGGGAUCUGCCCUGUGGCGCGGAAUAACUCCGGGAAACUGGAGCUAAUACCGCAUAAGCCGGACGGUCGUGGAGACUGUCCGGGAAAGAUUUAUCGCCAUGGGAUGAACCCGCGUCGGAUUAGGUAGUUGGUAGGGUAAAGGCCUACCAAGCCGACGAUCCGUAGCUGGUCUGAGAGGACGAUCAGCCACACUGGGACUGAGACACGGCCCAGACUCCUACGGGAGGCAGCAGUGGGAAUAUUGGACAAUGGGGGCAACCCUGAUCCAGCCAUGCCGCGUGAGUGAAGAAGGCCUUAGGGUUGUAAAGCUCUUUUACCAGGGAC
rnacentral:rRNA from 1 species